CUUGGCACCUCUGAUGCCCCUGCCUGUGCCACAGGUGAUACCUUCGGUGCCGCCAUUCUGUGCCAUCAAUCCGAACUCUGGACGCUGGCCAGAAUACAUUGCCCAGCUCGAGGCUUAACUUGCCGCAUACAACAUACCAGUUUCCCUAGCACUGGAGUCAUGGUUUUUGUCAAACUGACAUCUGAAGACAUUUUUGGAAACCUGAACCAUAACAAAUAACACAAGUAACAUGGACACAUAAGUACAGCUCCAGGAAUUUAUCUUGGAGUGUGAGGAGAGACAGGAGGGGGCUGGACCUUGGCAGACUCUCAACGUCCAGCCAUCCAUGACAAGACAAACCAAUUGCCUGAUGCCGAUUCUGACAAGGACAGUGAUAUGCCUGAAUGGGACAGACAAAGGGUCAUUGAACCAGAGGAGGAUGUAAUCUGGCCCUGCUAAAUGAUGAUGAUGAUGAUGAUGAUGAUGAUGAUGAUGAUGAUGAUGACUUCUUUGAGGUUGUGGUGGAGAUUUCCGAUGAAGUGUU